UGUGAGUGUGAGAGCGAGAACAGCCCCGCAGGUCCCGAGGCGCUGGCUGGGGACAAUGCCGCGGAAAGUUCCCAGUCCCCAGCCGCAGAUCUGCAGAAUUGAAAUGAAAUGUUUUGAGCUCUUCAAGCUGACUCGUCAGAAUCCUGGAGCCUUUUAAAAAAUGACGAAUUGGAAGGAAAAAUUACUUUAUCAAUAACCAGGCUCCACCAGGAUUGACCUAGAUGGUUGUUCCUGGCACUUGUCAUUCUCAGCAAGCACAGCUCAGAGAACAAAUACAAAAGACCCAAAGUGCAUUGCAUCUUUUAUGGAAGUGCCCAAUGUGGAAAUCAUAGAUUUCAAGGAAGGAACAAGAAAAUUGAUGAAACAAGUUCAAAAGAAAGAAGCUUGGCCAAUUUGAUGUCAAUGGAAAUGCGUGAGAUUUUUAUUCAGCAUUCACACCUGAGCAAUGCUUUUGGUCAUGAUGUCAUACUAAGAAGAAACCACCUGAGAUGAGACUGUUAGAUGUUCAGAGCAAACAAAAACAAAAACAGACCAACAAAAAAAACCCAAAACAAAACAGAAGUUUCUGAAGGACAGCAGAAAUGGCUUUGCAGGACCACAACAACCACUCCCAGUCAUGAUGGAGAGAAGUGUUCAAUACCCACAGAUCCUGAACGUUGAGCUGAUUAUACUAACUAGAUGGGACUUAGUUUUGUCUACCGUGGGGUGAGCGUAUACUACCUGAGGGAACAGGUUCUCUAUGGUGAAGAUGGCAACUUGCUGACUCAGUCUCAGAAUGCGUUAAAUCCACAUAUUCUGAAGUCCUCAGCAGAGUGAAACUUCAUAUAUAAUAUUUUCUACAGACAAAGUUACCAUCAAUAUCAACAGCAACAACACGGCAACAGCCAACAUUUACAGAACUUUUAUUAAGUUCCAGUCACCGUAUGUGCCUGCUUCCCCUUUGCCUUCCACCAUCAUUAUAAGUUUCCUGAGGCCACCACUGCCAUGCUUCCUGUACAGACUGUGGGACUCCAUGUAAGAUGUUCCUGCUUCCCCUUUGCCUUCUACCAUGAUUGUAACUUUCCUGAGGCCUUCCCAGCCAUGCUUCUUGUACAACCUGCAGAACUGUGAGUCAAUUAAACCUGUUUUCUUUAUAAAUU
rnacentral:lncRNA from 1 species